rnacentral:rRNA from 1 species
AGUUCGGAUUGGAGUCUGCAACUCGACUCCAUGAAGCUGGAUUCGCUAGUAAUCGCGCAUCAGCCAUGGCGCGGUGAAUACGUUCCCGGGCCUUGUACACACCGCCCGUCAAGCCAUGGGAGUCGGGAGUGCCUGAAGUUCGUGACCGUCACAGGAGCGACCUAAGGCAAGACCGAUGACUGGGGCUAAGUCGUAACAAGGUACC